rnacentral:rRNA from 1 species
GUCUACAACCAUACCACCCUGAACGCACCUGAUCUUGUCUGAUCUCAGAAGCUAAGCAGGGUUGGACCUGAUUAGUACUUGGAUGGGAGAAAGAGAGAGAAAGACCGGGAUGGGGGGCG